AUUGAGUCUUAGAGUUUUUUGUUUUAAGAUGGUAGUGCAGAGGUGGAUCCUACUUCAUUUUUAUGUUGCGUUUCUUUCCAUUUAUCUAGCAAGUACGUCCACAACAAUGGCAGGUCAACGGCUGGCUUUUCAUUCGGUAUUUGUUCUCUGCAUUUGGCUUUUAAUAUCUCUAUGGACUCCAUUAGGUAUACCUGGGAUUUUGCGGCUAAAGGCUUUAUUAGCUUUGCAUUUUUCCAGUCUAUUUGCAGAUCACUACCGUAAGCUUCCAUAGCAAGAGUAGUGGAAAUAUUUCCAUUAGCUAUAUCUUUUUGUGUUCUUCAACCCUCUGUUGUAAAGUUCUUGUAGUUACACCUAUGUAUGCUGUGUGUUGCUGGGUGCUGGUAAACAUGGCUGGAAUUUUAUAAACACCUGACUUUUGAUGGUCGUUCCUUCUCUCUUU
rnacentral:lncRNA from 1 species